GGAGUCAAAUAGUGCGUGAAAUUGUUGAAAGGGAAACGAUUGAAGUCAGUCAUGCUUGUAGGGAAUCAACAUGGUGGUUUUCUUCCUUGUGCACUUCCUUGCUUGGCAGGUUAGCAUCAAUUUUAAUUGUCAUUAAAGAACCGGGGGAAUGUGGCUUCUUCGGGAGUGUUAUAGACCUUGGUAGAUGUGACGAUUAGGAUUGAGGAUUGCAGCGAAUGCUUCUUGGCUAGUCACCUGGCUUCUGACGGUCACCUUGCUUUCGAUAGCAUGCUAACGUUGGUGAGAUUUGAUUGUCUAGAUGUUAGUGUGAUCAUAAAUUCGCUAAGGAUGCUGACGUAAUGGCUUUAAACGA
rnacentral:misc_RNA from 1 species